rnacentral:rRNA from 1 species
UGGGGAAUAUUGGACAAUGGGCGAAAGCCUGAUCCAGCCAUGCCGCGUGUGUGAAGAAGGUCUUCGGAUUGUAAAGCACUUUAAGUUGGGAGGAAGGGCAGUAAGCGAAUACCUUGCUGUUUUGACGUUACCGACAGAAUAAGCACCGGCUAACUCUGUGCCAGCAGCCGCGGUAAUACAGAGGGUGCAAGCGUUAAUCGGAAUUACUGGGCGUAAAGCGCGCGUAGGUGGUUCGUUAAGUUGAAUGUGAAAGCCCCGGGCUCAACCUGGAAACUGCAUCCAAAACUGGCGAGCUAGAGUAGGGCAGAGGGGGGUGGAAUUUCCUGUGUAGCGGUGAAAUGCGUAGAUAUAGGAAGGAACACCAGUGGCGAAGGCGACCACCUGGGCUCAUACUGACACUGAGGUGCGAAAGCGUGGGGAGCAAACAGG